GCCGGUCACGCGCCCCACCACAGGGUGCGCCUCCUCCUGCUGGUCAUGGUUCCAUGGUCCAUUUCGCCGGAAAGUCAAUCGGUUGGCCGGAAAUCAAGUUUUUCAGAUUCGGUUAGAAUGUGGAAAUGGUGAUUUCUUGCUGGUUUUUGAUCGAUUUUUGGACUAAUAUCACUCCUCCUAGCUCUGAUACCAGUUUGUUGGGGAUCCUAGGAGUUAAAACAACCAAAACAACAAUCAACAAACAAGAUUCAAGGCAAAAAUCAAGAAAAACGGGAAUGGAAAAAUACAACCCUUUUUGGCCGAAAAUCUGUCCAGCUUUUCUGCUUCGUUUCAGCAGCUCCUUCUUCGAUUUAUGGGUGUUUUUCCAGGCUCAGGAACAGCCCCA
rnacentral:lncRNA from 1 species